rnacentral:rRNA from 1 species
UGGGGAAUUUUGGACAAUGGGCGCAAGCCUGAUCCAGCCAUGCCGCGUGUCUGAAGAAGGCCUUCGGGUUGUAAAGGACUUUUGUCAGGGAAGAAAAGGCUGUUGCUAAUAUCAGCGGCUGAUGACGGUACCUGAAGAAUAAGCACCGGCUAACUACGUGCCAGCAGCCGCGGUAAUACGUAGGGUGCGAGCGUUAAUCGGAAUUACUGGGCGUAAAGCGAGCGCAGACGGUUACUUAAGCAGGAUGUGAAAUCCCCGGGCUCAACCUGGGAACUGCGUUCUGAACUGGGUGACUAGAGUGUGUCAGAGGGAGGUAGAAUUCCACGUGUAGCAGUGAAAUGCGUAGAGAUGUGGAGGAAUACCGAUGGCGAAGGCAGCCUCCUGGGAUAACACUGACGUUCAUGCUCGAAAGCGUGGGUAGCAAACAGGAUUAGAUACCCUGGUAGUCCACGCCCUAAACGAUGUCAAUUAGCUGUUGGGCAACUUGGUUGUUCAGUAGCGUAGCUAACGCGUGAAAUUGACCGCCUGGGGAGUACGGUCGCAAGAUUA